AGGGUUGCACAAGAGAAGCCACCUGAAAUCCGCAACCAGGAGUGCAGGUAUCAGAACAAGAUCCAAGGUCAUGCUUUGAUAUCUUCUGACAGCAAACUGGACUUGCAGCAACUGUGGAAAGACAUACUGGACAGUGAGAGUCACAAGGAAAAUCAGAACCACUAAAAAAAGUCAAAGAAACAUUGCUGUACUACAAAAAGUUAACAAAAAAACUUUAAAACAUAAGUGGGGUAUAAGAAACCCUCAGAGAUGUGUGUGGGCUAAGUGUGUGUUAAGAGCUUUUCCAUUGUCCAUACAGGAGAAUGUAUGUCAAUGUAACAGUACAAUAUUUUCAGCUGCACUCUAUUAACCAUUUAUGAGGGCUUCUGACCACUCUCAGAUAUGAGAGGAAAUACAUAUGCUUUUCAUUCCCCCGCUGCCAUCAAUAAGAUUUGACAUUUCCAUCCAAAACCAAGUAGACGUUUGUUCCAGGAUCCUGUUGUAGCAGGUUCAGCCUCAGGUGGAGCUUCAAGGCACACAUGCUCUUGGCGAGAUGGCAUUGAACUCCUGCAGACAGCAGCUGAACGUCAGCUAUUGACACCCAUCUGGCUCAUUAGUAUUCAGUGCAGUGUAUGGAGUAAGAUCUGGAUGUCUGUCUUUUCUGUUACUGAGAAAACAGUGGACACUGAAGACCACUGGACCGUCAUGAACUCAGAUACUACUUCAGUUAUAUUAAGGGAAAGGGAUCUUUUAUGUUUGAACAAGCACAUGCUUUGAGGAAGACAACCAAUUGUCCUUAUAUGAACUGCAGGCAAAUGUUAAAUGCUUUCUAUGAGAUCUUUUUAGUUGCCUUUUCGCUGCAGUUCUUUGAUUAAUUCAUCUCCUAUCAGUUUUAGAUGCUUCUUUCAUUAUAUUUCUCUCCUCAUUUGUCUCUUAAGAUUUUACAGAAAGGUAAACAGGUCUUCACAAGCAUUCACUGUGCAAAUCUGUAGAUCCAAGAAUCUUUUUUUAGCCUUCCGGAGGCUUGACGGAUAAACGUUGGUAGAAGUUUUAUUUCUCAUUGUUAAAAUGAAUGUAUUGACCAACAAUAAACAGAGAAAUUGA